rnacentral:rRNA from 1 species
UACGGAGGGGGCUAGCGUUGUUCGGAAUUACUGGGCGUAAAGCGUGCGCAGGCGGUGCUGUAAGACAGGCGUGAAAUCCCCGGGCUUAACCUGGGAAUGGCGCUUGUGACUGCAGUGCUGGAGUGCGGCAGAGGGGGAUGGAAUUCCGCGUGUAGCAGUGAAAUGCGUAGAUAUGCGGAGGAACACCGAUGGCGAAGGCAAUCCCCUGGGCCUGCACUGACGCUCAUGCACGAAAGCGUGGGGAGCAAACAGG